CUAAAAAAAUAACAUAACACUCCUUGUGCAUUCCCUAGGGAGAGGAUGAGAGUGAUCAUAAACGACAUGUGACAGAUGUUAUGACUAACAUCUGAGUCAGAGUGCUUAAAUCUCUACUGGGAAGCAAUUACAGCAAUGAGAGUGUCUCAAGAAUCUGCGCAGAAAAGAGAAUUAUGAGCAAAAAGUAACCUCUGGAUAUAUCUACAUCUCCUUUCUGAAUAAAUGUUGAUACUGUCCUAGACAGAAGGUAACAGAAAGGAUUUUUGCCUUCAGCAAGACUGUAUGCAACAAAUCCCACAGCACUUCACAUCUCAGGGAAAAAUACAAGGAGACCAGACUUCUCUCUACUGACAUUCCUGUUCCUUCAAUCAGUGGAAACAUUUUAGGAAGACACCAACCAGCUUCUCAGUGUUACAAUACCUACUCACUGGAACUGUAAUAGUUGUACAAGUGAUAUCUUAGACAAGCCCUAAGCCGUUCUGAUACUGCAUUUGUCAUGGCAAAUCACAAACUGAAAAUGCUGUGUAUAAUAUGUGACUCCUCUGAGCCGUCAAAUUUAUGGUCUGUUAAUCAUCUUUAUGAUUAGCAAUGGGAAAGUUUGCAAGCCACUCCUUCUACAAACUGUAGGAAAAUAAUGUAGUUUGCUUAGAAACACAAUGUUUUUCACUUUCUUAUCGGGAUAUUAAGAAACUUUUCACUUCUAAUUAUGUUGUCUGAAAAAUAGAAUGUAUUGGUCUCUAUUCUAAAGGACAGUUACAUAAAAAUCCAUCAAUAUU
rnacentral:lncRNA from 1 species